ACCCACGAGCGUUGAAAAGCUCGGGGAUGACUUGUGGGUAGCGGUGAAAUUCCAAUCGAGCCCGGAGAUAGCUGGUUCUCCCCGAAAUAGCUUUAGGGCUAGCCUCAAGGUGAGAGAUACGGAGGUAGAGCACUGAAUGUCCUAGGGGGUAUUGCACCUACCGAAGACUAUCAAACUCCUAAUGCCGUCAUCUUAUACUUGGGAGUCAGACUGUGGGUGAUAAGAUUCAUAGUCGAAAGGGCAACAGCCCAGAUCGUCAGCUAAGGUCCCUAAAUGUAAGUUAAGUGGUAAAGGAUGUGGGAUUGCACAGACAACCAGGAUGUUGGCUUAGAAGCAGCCACUCAUUCAAAGAGUGCGUAAUAGCUCACUGGUCGAGUGAUCCUGCGCCGAAGAUUUCCGGGGCUAAAACUUACUACCGAAGCUCCGGCAUCAGUAAUGAUGGGUAGGGGAGCUUCCCUACGGGG
rnacentral:rRNA from 1 species